GGCGAUCAUAUACCGCCCUAGUUCUGACCGUAAACGAUGCCAACUAGCGAUCCGCCAGUCGACUCAUCGCUCUGGUGGGGGGCUUCCCGGAAACGAAAGUCUUCCGGUUCCGGGGGAAGUAUGGUUGCAAAGCUGAAACUUAAAGGAAUUGACGGAAGGGCACCACCAGGAGUGGAGCCUGCGGCUUAAUUUGACUCAACACGGGGAAACUCACCCGGCCCGGACACCGUAAGGAUUGACAGAUUGAUAGCUUUUUCAUGAUUCGGUGGAUGGUGGUGCAUGGCCGUUCUUAGUUCGUGGAGCGAUUUGUCUGGUUUAUUCCGAUAACGAGCGAGACUCUGGCCUACUAAAUAGUUGACGCAUUGCCACUGUGCGCACAACUUCUUAGAGGGAUUUUCGGUGUUUUCAACCGCACGAAAUUGAGCAAUAACAGGUCUGUGAUGCCCUUAGAUGUCCGGGGCUGCACGCGCGCUACACUGGCAAACGCAACGUGCCUGUCCUGCCCCGAAAGGAGCGGGUAAACCCCUGAAAUUUUGCCGUGAAUUGGGANUCGGACAUUGCAACUAUUGUCCGUGAACGAGGAAUUCCUUGUAGGGGCGAGUCAUCAACUCGUCCCGAAUACGUCCCUGCCCUUUGUAA
rnacentral:rRNA from 1 species